rnacentral:lncRNA from 1 species
CUCGGAAAUAGGAAAGGCAGUUGUCCCACACCUGAAAGGCUGAGAAGAAACCAGCUCAGGUUGAGGCCAGCUCCUUAGGCCUGGAAUCUCUUAAUUGGUGGCCUCUGGCCACUCCUGUGAGGCGUUCUUCAGGGCCAACAAUAGGAUCUUUUAAAAUUCCUGGUUUAUUGGGGGGCAGGGAUGCCACUUUGGCAUGGUUAUUGUUAUUGCCCCUCCUUAGUGAUGCCCAGAAUCUCAGCUAGAACCCUUCAGUCCUCCUCAAUUGAUCCUUCUGCCCUACAAGCACCCUCUCGCUGUUCUUCGUCCUGACUGGCCGCUAGGGAGGCCUGCCGCAUUCCAAUAGGACCCUGAGUCACCGGCUUCUGGAAUGCCACAGGUCUGACCAGCCGGCUUGUGUACAUUUUCCCCACUUCCAACUUCAGCCUGUCUUCUCCAGGAGAAAGAGCAACGACAUUAGAGGUCAUGGUGACUCAUGUUCCUUCCCUGAAUAGGAUGGCUGCCUACUUCCUCGCCUGUAGACUAGGUGUGAUGAAAAUUCACAGGUUGCCGGGGCAACAAGAGCCAUCUCCCAAGUGCUGUGCCACCAACCCUGAGGCUGGGCACACAGCAGCGGAUGAGGUAAUACAGACCUCCAUUCCUGAGACUUUUAAGUUCUUGUGCGGGAUACGCAUUGGUUAAUUGGCAAAAGAGGAAACCAAUCUAUGAUUGUUACUACGAUUAAAAUAUUAGGGGGCUGAAAGCCUGGUGUGCCAAUCCAUGGCCUGAGAACAGGACCUGGCACGUAGUAGGAGCUCAAAUAUUUGUUCAAUGUUUAAAGCUGAGCGGUGGUUAGGAAGUCUCACAGGAACGGAACCCCAAAUCGGAGGUCUCCGGGAUGUAAGAACCUCGGAUGCAAAGACUGGCGAGCAUUAGAGAAAGUGAAAGAAGGCGUGGAUGUUGCAAACUUCACAGAGUAGUGUACCCAGGAGGGGGAGGCUGCUUCUGGAACAGGCUCUUUCAAAGUGUGGCGGCCUAGUUUUGAAGCUUCCCCUCCACGUGUCUGGACUCACUCCCCUCCUACCACCCGAGCCCCUGGCGAGCACUUUCUGCAGAGCCCUCCGGCGCCCCGUGCUCUCAUUUCCUGGGCUGCAGAUCCGUGGGUCCCUUCCCGAGGCCGGCCCCCGGGUGGCGGCUUUGGUGGCUCAGGUGGCGAGGCGCCCGACCCAGGCCGGAAGGCCGGGGCUCUGGGGCUGCGCAGGCGGGACCGGCCGGGGCCGGUGUAGGGCGGCGAGGACAGGCGGGGAGCGCCGGGCCGGGAGCAGUGGGGCCGCCAGGAUCCCGGUCGUCGUCCCACCGGUCGCUGCCUUCUCCAGAGCAAUUUGCAUAUUUCCCCGAAGAACCCUCUGA